GAUGAACGCUCGCUACAGGCUUAACACAUGCAAGUCGCGGGGCAGCAUGGGGGUUGCUUGCAAUCCCCGAUGGCGACCGGCGCACGGGUGAGUAACGCGUAUCCAACCUGCCCUUCUCCACGGGAUAACCCGGCGAAAGUCGGACUAAUACCGUAUGUUGUCCAUUGACGGCACCCGAUUUGGACGAAAGGUUUGGCGGUGAAGGAUGGGGAUGCGUCCGAUUAGCUGGACGGCGGGGUGACGGCCCACCGUGGCGACGAUCGGUAGGGGUUCUGAGAGGAAGGUCCCCCACACUGGAACUGAGACACGGUCCAGACUCCUACGGGAGGCAGCAGUGAGGAAUAUUGGUCAAUGGGCGUAAGCCUGAACCAGCCAAGUAGCGUGCAGGAGGACGGCCCUAUGGGUUGUAAACUGCUUUUAUGCGGGGAUAAAGUGGCCCACGUGUGGGUUUUUGCAGGUACCGCAUGAAUAAGGACCGGCUAAUUCCGUG
rnacentral:rRNA from 1 species